GAUGAACGCUAGCGGGAGGCUUAAUACAUGCAAGUCGAGCGGCAAGUUUUGAUAGCAAUAUUGGAACCUAGAGCGGCGCACGGGUGAGUAACGCGUACAUGACCUGCCCUAUACUGGGGGAUAGUCUUGGGAAACUGAGAAUAAUCCCGCAUGUGAUUAGAAUGCUGCAUGGCAAAUUAAUUAAAGCUGAGGCGGUAUAGGAUGGGUGUGCGUCUGAUUAGCUAGUUGGUAGUGUAACGGACUACCAAGGCGAUGAUCAGUAGGGGGCGUGAGAGCGUGACCCCCCACACGGGUACUGAGACACGGACCCGACUCCUACGGGAGGCAGCAGUAAGGAAUAUUGGUCAAUGGAGGGAACUCUGAACCAGCCAUCCCGCGUGAAGGAUGAAGGGGCUCUGCCUUGUAAACUUCUUUUGCAUGGGACGAAAAAACUUAAUUUAUUAAGGACUGACGGUACCAUGAGAAUAAGCACCGGCUAACUCCG
rnacentral:rRNA from 1 species